GGAACAGGAAGUGUGCUGGGGGAAGGGGGGGGGGUGAGUGUCGAGGAAUUUCAUAUCCCCUGGGGUUCCCAAUGCCCAGUGGAAAGGGCAACUGAAACUGGAGAAAAGCACAAAGCACAAGGAACGUCAGAAACCCCCUGGCCCAGUGGCUGCGCUCUAGUAGGUCCCGAGUUUUUAGGUGAAAGUUUCUAUUCAAGCUGAGACCUUUCCUGCAUCGCAGCACUUCCCAGUUUUUGAUCAUAACAAAAAGGUGGGACAUCCAAAGACCACUCCAAAGAAACUGAAGACUGGUUCUCGAGGCAUUUCCAACUUGAAGAAAAAGCCUGACAGAUCUGGGGACCCAUUCUUGGUUACGCCCAGAAGUAGAAUUAACUGGCUAAGCUUGAGAAAACACUGGAACUCUGGCAACUGUUCUAAAUGAGUUUUCUCAUUCCUCUGAGCUUUGCCCGUAGCCACUGUAUGCAUAUGUUGCAAAACUAAUUAUAAAAGAUCUUGAGAGCC